rnacentral:rRNA from 1 species
AGAGUUUGAUCCUGGCUCAGGACGAACGCUGGCGGCGUGCUUAACACAUGCAAGUCGAACGAUUCCGUGCUUUCGGGUGCGGUUUAGUGGCGAACGGGUGAGUAACACGUGGGCAACCUGCCCUCCACUCUGGGAUAACUCCGGGAAACCGGGGCUAAUACUGGAUAUGACUUCUGGCCGCAUGGCUGGGGGUGGAAAGUUUUUCGGUGGAGGAUGGGCCCGCGGCCUAUCAGCUUGUUGGUGGGGUGAUGGCCUACCAAGGCGGUGACGGGUAGCCGGCCUGAGAGGGCGACCGGCCACACUGGGACUGAGACACGGCCCAGACUCCUGCGGGAGGCAGCAGUGGGGAAUAUUGCACAAUGGGCGCAAGCCUGAUGCAGCGACGCCGCGUGAGGGAUGACGGCCUUCGGGUUGUAAACCUCUUUCAGCAGGGACCAAGGCUUCGGUUGAGUGUACCUGCAGAAGAAGCACCGGCUAACUACGUGCCAGCAGCCGCGGUAAUACGUAGGGUGCGAGCGUUGUCCGGAUUUAUUGGGCGUAAAGGGCUCGUAGGCGGCCUGUCGCGUCGGGAGUGAAAGCCCACUGCUUAACGGUGGGUCUGCUUCCGGUACGGGCGGGCUGGAGUAUGGCAGGGGAGACUGGAAUUCCUGGUGUAGCGGUGGAAUGCGCAGAUAUCAGGAGGAACACCGGUGGCGAAGGCGGGUCUCUGGGCCAUUACUGACGCUGAGGAGCGAAAGCGUGGGGAGCGAACAGGAUUAGAUACCCUAGUAGUCC